AUGGCUGCCGGCGCGCCGCUGGAGCCGGAGCUCGAGCCCCCUACGACGCGCAUCCGCAUCUGUGCCAUCCUAGAAGCCGGUGACGCGUUCGCCGGCCAACGCGUGGUCGUCGGUGGCUGGGUCAGGGCCGGGCGCGAGCAGGGCGGCGGCAGAUUUGCGUUCCUCGAUGUAAACGACGGCUCCUGCCUGGGCAACCUCCGGGUCAAGGUCGACGCUGGCACCACCGCGCCCCGCCCACUCGCGCGGCUCACAGCCACUGGUACGUCCGUGCUCGUCGAGGGAGAGCUCCAGGCGGACCCAAGGGCCAAGCACGGCGUCGAGCUGAGCGUGGAGACGCUGAUCGAGGUCGGCGAGGUCGACGCCGCCGCCUACCCGCUGCCCAAGACCAAGCCAGGCCACCCGCUCGACCCCGCCUACCUCAGGGAUUUUCUCCACCUCCGCGCACGCACCAACUUGAUAGGUGCGGUGCUUAGGAUAAGGAGUGAACUCUCCUCAGCGACCGAUGCAUACUUCCGGGACAAUGGCUUCCAGCGUGUGCACACGCCCAUAAUAACCACGAGCGACUGCGAGGGUGCUGGCGAGAUGUUCCAGGUCACCACCUUGUUCAGCCAGGCCGAGAAGCUGGACAAGGAGCUCAAGGAGAACCCUGCUGCAUCUCAAGUUGACAUUGAUGCCGCCAAAAUCGUUGUCAAAGAGAAGGGGGACAUUGUCGCGCAGCUCAAAUCUGCACAAGCCACCAAGGAAAAGAUCGCUGCGGCCGUGUCGGAGCUCAAGAAGGCAAAAGAGAGCGUGUCGAGAAUGGAGGAGAGGUCCAGGCUGACAUAUGGGAUCCCACGCAGUGAAGAUGGGAGCAUUGCCUUUGUGAACGAUUUUUUCAAGUGUCCUUCGUACCUGACGGUGUCUGGGCAGCUUCAACUGGAGACCUUGGCUUGUGGUCUCACCGACGUGUAUACCUUUGGGCCGACAUUCCGGGCCGAAAACUCCCACACGUCGAGGCAUCUGGCCGAGUUCUGGAUGGUGGAGGCAGAAAUGGCAUUUGCAAACUUGCAGGAUGAUAUGAACCGUGCAGAAAGCUACGUGCAAUACCUUUGCAAAUGGCUACUCGAGCAUUGCCGAGCAGAGAUGGAAUUCAUGGUCAAGCAUCAUGAUGAGGCCGCAAUCGAGCGCCUGGAGCUUGUUUCGUCGACGCCUUUGGAACGUAUUUCGUAUACAAAGGCCGUUGAGAUGCUCGAAGAUGCAGAUAAAAUUUUUGAGAACAAAGUUGAGUGGGGAAUUGAUUUAGCAUCCGAGCAUGAGAGGUAUUUGACUGAGGUGGUGUUUAAGAAGCCACUAAUUGUUUUUAACUAUCCAAAAGGAAUAAAGGCCUUUUAUAUGAGGCUCAAUAAUGACCAAAAGACUGUUGCUGCUAUGGAUGUUCUUGUUCCCAAGGUUGGUGAAUUAAUCGGCGGAAGCCAGAGGGAGGAGCGUCUGGAUAUUCUUGAACAAAGGAUACUCGAUGCCGGUCUGGACUUGGAGCAGUAUGCCAAGUACCUGGACCUGCGGUGCUUUGGAUCCGUAAAGCACAGCGGGUUCGGCCUAGGUUUGGAGAGGAUGGUCCUUUUCGCCACCGGUCUUGACAACAUUAGAGAUGUUAUUCCCUUCCCGAGGUACCCUGGGAGGGCCGAUCUCUGA
rnacentral:rRNA from 1 species